GUUCGGUCUGAUGGUAGUGGUCAGAACUUAUCAACAUCAGUGUCAUUAAAGUUAGUAUUCAACCCCCACUACUAAAUUUGGCUUAUA
rnacentral:Y_RNA from 1 species